CGCUUGGCCCCGCCCCCCGGCGGCUGCGGCGGCCAGCAGCGGAGGAAGGCGCAGCUCCGCUCCGCUCCGCUCCCCGCCGCCAUGGGGCUGCCGGCCGCCUGCCCGCUGCUGCUGCUGCUCGGCGCCCUGCGCUACGGUUCUGCCCAGCUGGUGUUUAGUACAGUAGAUUUUGUUGAAAGAGAUGCCUGUAAUACUACUGUUGUUUUACCUUGCCACGUGAUUAAUCUAAAGGAGCACAAUGACAGUAACAUGUUUGUUUCGUGGAAAAAACAAGGAAGAGUACUUUUUUCUUUUAAUGGAGCAGAACAGCGUAUUUACAGGCAUGAGAUGGUUCCAUCAGCUAACUUGCUAUCUCAGCAGGAUUUAUCUAAGGGCAUUGCCUCUCUAAAACUUAAAAGUUCGGAAGCAGAAGAUGGAAAUUACAGUUGUGAAGUAACAGAAUUAAACAGAGAAGGAGAAACAAAAGUUGAUCUUAGAACCGUCACGGUUGGCAGUUGUGGUGAGGAAAAUGCCCCAACACCAGACAAUGAAUGUGGGCGACAGUUUGACUUCAUGGAAAGUGUUGUCAUCUCAGUGUUGCUGUUCUUAAUUGUUAUUAUUUAUUGGGCUCAGUUAGGUGUUAUCGCAUUAAAAUGUGAAACUGUACAUAAGAAUAAGACGUACGUUGCUGUAGGAUGUGCCAUCUUCACAGUUCUUGCUGUUAUAGCUGUUGUUCUUUUUGUCCAAGGUGGCAAUAUUACUAUCAGUAAAGUUGGUCUUGGUUUUGUUGUACUGCCUGCUGUGAUAUUGAUGGUGCUUCAGUACUAUAUAUUUAAAAUCGUUCUCGUUGAUGUAACACGUAAAGGAUAUGUUCUGAUAGGUCUUCAGUUUUUUGGUUUUAUAAUUGCUCUUGUUGGUUUUGCACUGUGCAUCUCAGCCUGUCCUCCAGAACUUCUGUCUGUUGUAAUUGCUGGCUUAGCUGUUAUGGCUGUUGAGGAUCUGCUUGCUCUGUUGUAUAUGUAUACUAGUUGUUCCAGAAUGAAAGAUCAUCAAACUCCAAGGAAUCACUACUUACUGUAUAUGUCAAUUAGAGUAAUUUAACUGUGGCGAGCCAGAAGUAAACACGAAGGCAUUUUAUACAUAUAUAUAUUUUUAAAUGUUUUGCAGAAAGCUGUAGAAGAACCACUAAAUGAUGCAAAAGGAGUGAUGUUAGAAUGAUGCAAUAAAGACAGAGACUGAAUCUACUGCAGAGAUGAGUGAUGGGUGACAAGUACAUUGUUUAUACGCCGUGGCCUUGAAGAUGCACUACUCAAAGAGAAGAAAUUCAGGAAACUAGUUGUUUUGCAUGUGUGGCAAAAGUGCUUUUGAUAUAAAUGAUGUAAUUUUAUAGUCACAGCAGCUGUAGCGAGGAACAUGUGUGUUUGCCUGUGUGAUCUUCAUUUCUUUUAUAUGGUAUAUAUGGUGUGGUUGAGGGUGAGAAUAUAAAGAGCACUGUUUGCCCACUAAAGCGUCUCCCUGCAGUAUACUUAGUGGUAUUACUUUUAAAAAUUAUCACCAGUCACUGCUUUGAUAAUGGGCCUGCUCAGCCCGAAGAUUGCAAUACCAUUUUAGACUACUGUUUUCUUUACUUAUGUGCAUGAUCAAGGUAUGGUCAUAAUGUCUGUGAUACGAACAGGAAGCAGGGAUCACAAAAUACUUCUUUUUCAACAUUCAGGAAAGUUUUUAUUUAAAAAAACAAAAAGCUUAUACAAAAAGUUACAUAAAUAUAAACUUUACUCCCAGUUCUCCUUAAAUGAUUAACCAAGUUACCCUAAUUCCACAGAAUGAUGAUAUUCCUAUCUAUGCGCAGCAGUCACAUGCUGUGGCGACCAGUAUUUUAGUCCAGUGAGAGCUCUCUGUGCCUCGUAAGUAUUCUUUGACAAGAUACUGCUCAGCUCUAAUUCCUCUAAUUGGCUCUAGGAGCCAAAAUCAGCACUGGAAUUGUGGAGCAUAGCACCUAGUCAUUUUCAUGCUGAAAUGUUUGUUUGUUCAUGUUGUGCAGCAUGUGGUACUGGAACCAAUUUCAGGUUCUCUUAACUGACUGCAUUUGUAAAACUCUUGAUGCUUCAGAAAAAUAGGAUUUGUCCUAUUAGCAUAUUGUUAACAGUUUUAAAAUCGGUUUUCUUGAAUGAAAAUUGCAGUUAUUUCAUUUCUGACUCAAGUUUGUGAUGCUGCCAUUACAUCACAAAUGCAUAGAAUAGAAUAUAUGUAGAAGGAGCUGAUGCGAAGUGAGGAGGCUUCAUUGCUUUGUAUAUGGAAGUGGUACAGAUUAAAAAAAAAUCCAUGUAGAAUCAAUUCUACAGGACUUGCACAUUCCAUGAGACUUUACAAUGUUUUACAGCUGCAUUUGUUCCAGUAUAGUUGGAUUCUUUUGAAUUUCAUUUACACUUUGUGGAAAUCUUUACACUGGCUCCAAUUUGUACUAAUAAAAUUGUAAUAAAAUCCACUUUUUUAAAAAAGAUUCUGAGUAAUGCGAUAAGUCCCAGAUCUGGAAGUUAUAAACUAGGGUUCAUAUCCGUGUUCUGGGUGUGUGUUGCAGAGAUCCACAUGAGAUCCUCCAAGUCUCAGUGCAGACACCUUGUAUGAGGAGUUCAACAAAAUAAAAUUGAGAUAUCUGAUUUUACAAUAUUCAUUAUUGCAAGGGCUGCAGGACUCAGCCACUAGAGCAACCCUUGGUCCAGCCCUUGCUAAAAUCAGUGAAAUUGGCCACAGUGGAAAGGAUUAUUCUUGUGAUAAAAUGUUUAAGAAGCAAAUAUGGUGUACAUUUAGUUGCGUAACUUAAAGUUUGUCAGUGGGAGUAUUCAUAUAAGAUUUGAGCUUCCAAAUAUGAAUCUCUUUGAUGCAGGCUUUUUCAUGAUCAUAGCAAUCCACCUAGAGGUGGGAGACACUUCUCUGUUACCAAUUCUGUGUAAGGGUUUACCUGAUCAGGUACCACGCAGAGCUCCUCGUCUGUAUGUAGUGAUUCCCUGUGGCAAGUUGAAAGUUGAGCAGUUGAAGAAGAAAAAAAAGAAGCACUGGAAUUCUUUUUGAGGUAUCCUGCCUUAUUAAAAACCAUAAUGUAUAAUAGCUUUAUGUUAACUACUGCAAAGCAAAUUGCAGUGGAACCUGUUGUGUGUCUCUGUGGUGAUGAGGCCAGCCUGUCACUAGGGCACUGCUGAAAAAUGUAGAACUCGGUGACUGUGUACAGACUGCAGAAUCAAUUGCCCCAAAAAGGAGAGAAACCUCGCAUGCUGUUGCUAAGGGCUCUGCUCCGGGUUUCUUGUAGGUACAAAUUUAAACAUGAGAGUUUAAAAAGUCAUUGAUACGCCCAGCCUUUUCCCACCAGUAAAACCAAAGUUCAUAACUGUUUGAUGCCAUUCAUGUGUGUAUGUAUGCGUGUAUAUAUAUAAAUGCAUAGACAUUUUAAAUAUCUAUAGUCUUUACUCAAGAAAAUGUUUUUAUUUAUGAAACAUGAAAGAAUUUUGUAAAUAUUGUGUUAAUGUACUUUAAUUAAAGUCAUUUUAAGUUGUU